GGCUGGCCCAAAGGUAGCGAGUUAUCUCAAUGGAUUGUUCAUAGUCAGUCACAGAUUGAACUUCUUGUUCUAUUCCUUCCCUCUUUUUCACUACUGAACUUAACUGGUCCAAA
rnacentral:Y_RNA from 1 species